AANGCCUAACACAUGCAAGUCGAGCUGGUAGCACAGAGAGCUUGCUCUCGAGGUGACGAGCUGUGCGUGACGUGGUGAGCUAAUGUCUUGGCGAAACAUGCCUGAAUGGAGUAGUGUGAGAUAAACUUACAUUGGAAAACCAGUGUAGCAUAAUACCUGCAAUAACUGUCNUUNCUGAGACACAAAGUUGGAGAGGACCAUNUCAGUGGCCUACAUAGCCAUACAGAAUAGUAUAGCCCAAGAUGAGGAUAUAUGCCAUUAU
rnacentral:rRNA from 1 species